rnacentral:rRNA from 1 species
UACGGAGGAUGCAAGCGUUAUCCGGAAUGAUUGGGCGUAAAGGGUCCGCAGGUGGCAGUGUAAGUCUGCUGUCAAAGAAUGAGGCUUAACCUCAUCAAGGCGGUGGAAACUACACAGCUAGAGUACGGUCGGGGUAGAAGGAAUUCCUGGUGUAGCGGUGAAAUGCGCAGAUAUCAGGAAGAACACCCGUGGCUAAGGCGGUUCUCUAGUACGGUACUGACGCUGAGACGCGAAAGCGUGGGGAGCGAACAGG